rnacentral:lncRNA from 1 species
AUGGGGAAGGAAGCGGAGGGGUGCAGGGUCAGGGAUGCAGAGCGAUGCGCAGCGUGGCCGUGGGAGGGAGCCGUCACCGCACGGCAGCCGCUCUCAGGCUCUAUGCGAUGGGGCAGCCCCGGUACCUCCCCCCCCUCCCCCCGGUACCUCCCCCUGCCCCGGUACCGCCCCUGCAUCCUCCAUCCCUCUCGGUACCGCCCCGCAUGCCGUGAGGAUGGGCUGGAGUCUCUUGAGGGCAGCGGUCAGAUCCAAAGGUCGAACUGGAGUCCCGCAAGAACCCACAUUGUAACGGAGGGGGCGGAGUACCCUAAGAGCCAUUUUGAGAUGCAAGUUUUACUGAACCGAGAGCAUUACGGUGCUGUGACAUCAGCGUGCAGGGAAUACCUCCGAAGACUAUUUAAGAAUCCUACAGAAUAUCCCAGCCAAGGGAGCGGCUGCGUACAUGAGAGUGUCACAUUCAGUAAAUGGCUCGAAGCUGAGCUUGGCUGGGAAGGGUAUAUGUGA